rnacentral:rRNA from 1 species
AGAGUUUGAUCAUGGCUCAGAACGUACGCUGGCGGCACGCCUAACACAUGCAAGUCGAACGAAGUAGCAAUACUUAGUGGCAGACGGGUGAGUAACAUGUGGGUAUCUACCCUUUGGCCUGGAAUAACACGAGGAAACUUGUGCUAAUACCGGAUAAGUCUUUACGGAGAAAGCUUUAUGCACCAUUGGAUGAGCCCGCACUUGAUUAGUUUGUUGGUAGGGUAAUGGCCUACCAAGACUAUGAUCAAUAGCUGAUUUGAGAGGAUGAUCAGCCACAUUGGGACUGAGACACGGCCCAAACUCCUACGGGAGGCAGCAGUGGGGAAUCUUGCACAAUGGAGGAAACUCUGAUGCAGCGAUGCCGCGUGAGUGAAGAAGGCCUUUGGGUUGUAAAGCUCUUUCGUCGGGGAAGAAAAUGACUGUACCCGAAUAAGAAGGUCCGGCUAACUUCGUGCCAGCAGCCGCGGUAAUACGAAGGGACCUAGCGUAGUUCGGAAUUACUGGGCUUAAAGAGUUCGUAGGUGGUUGAAAAAGUUGGUGGUGAAAUCCCAGAGCUUAACUCUGGAACUGCCAUCAAAACUUUUCAGCUAGAGUAUGAUAGAGGAAAGCAGAAUUUCUAGUGUAGAGGUGAAAUUCGUAGAUAUUAGAAAGAAUACCAAUUGCGAAGGCAGCUUUCUGGAUCAUUACUGACACUGAGGAACGAAAGCAUGGGUAGCGAAGAGGAUUAGAUACCCUCGUAGUCCAUGCCGUAAACGAUGUGUGUUAGACGUUGGAAAUUUAUUUUCAGUGUCGCAGGGAAACCGAUAAACACACCGCCUGGGGAGUACGACCGCAAGGUUAAAACUCAAAUGAAUUGACGGGGACCCGCACAAGCGGUGGAGCAUGUGGUUUAAUUCGAUGCAACGCGAAGAACCUUACCUGGCCUUGACAUGUCUGGAAUCCUGUAGAGAUACGGGAGUGCCUUCGGGAAUCAGAACACAGGUGCUGCAUGGCUGUCGUCAGCUCGUGUCGUGAGAUGUUGGGUUAAGUCCCGCAACGAGCGCAACCCUCACUUUUAGUUGCCAUCAUUAAGUUGGGCACUCUGAAAGAACUGCCAGUGAUAAGCUGGAGGAAGGUGGGGAUGACGUCAAGUCCUCAUGGCCCUUACGUGUUGGGCUACACACGUGCUACAAUGGCAUCUACAACAGGAAGCAAAACGGCAACGUUAAGCAAAUCCCGAAAAGAUGCCUCAGUUCGGAUUGCACUCUGCAACUCGAGUGCAUGAAGCUGGAAUUACUAGUAAUCGUGGAUCAGCGUGCCACGGUGAAUGCGUUCCCGGGUCUUGUACACACCGCCCGUCACACCAUGGGAGUUGGUUCUACCUUAAGGCAAGGUUUUAAACCCUUGACCACGGUAUAGUCAGCGACUGGGGUGAAGUCGUAACAAGGUAGCCGUAGGGGAACCUGCGGCUG